rnacentral:pre_miRNA from 1 species
UUUCAUGUUGUCCCACAGCUUUCUUGAACUUCCAUCUUCUUCAUAAUAAUCCUCCAUAUAUUCCGAUAGAGGGAUCUAAAUUCAUGUCGAAGAAGUUCAAGAAAGCUGUGGAAAAGCAUGGAAG